UACGUAGGGGGGCUAGCGUUGUCCGGAAUCAUUGGGCGUAAAGCGCGCGUAGGCGGCCCGGUAAGUCCGCUGUAAAAGUCAAAGGCUCAACCUUUGAAUGUCAGUGGAUACUGCCGGGCUAGAGUCCGGAAGAGGCGAGUGGAACUCCUGGUGUAGCGGUGGAAUGCGCAGAUAUCAGGAAGAACACCGACGGCGAAGGCGGCGCUCUGGGGCCGGAACUGACGCUGAGGAGCGAAAGCGUGGGUAGCAAACAGG
rnacentral:rRNA from 1 species